AAAUCCACGUCGGGUUAGUCGGGCCUAAGGCGAGGCCUGAUGGCGCAGUCGAUGGACAACAGGUUAAUAUUCCUGUACCACGUAAUACCGAUUGAGUGAAGGGGUGACGCAGGGGGGUAGGCCAGCCAGUUAUUGGAUUCUGGUGCUAAGCCUGUAGGGCGACGAAAGGGAUAGGGAAAACCGUUCCUAGAGCCUGAGGGGUGAUGGCGGAGCCCGAGAGGGCCGGAAGUGGUUGAGCCCGCGCUGCCGAGAAAAGCCUCUAGCGAGGUAUGCGUGACCGUACCGCAAACCGACACAGGUAGAUGGGUAGAGAAUACCAAGGCGAACGGAAGAACCCUUGUUAAGGAACUAGGCAAAUUAAGUCCGUAACUUAGGGAAAAGGACUGCCACUGGUUGUGAGGGCGACUAGCUUGUCUGAGCGAUUGGUGGUCGCAGCGAAAUGGCUCUGCCGACUGUUUAACAAAAACACAGGUCUCUGCAAAAGCGAAAGCUGACGUAUAGGGGCUGACGCCUGCCCAGUGCCGGAAGGUUAAGGGGAGAUGUGAUGAGCAUUGAACCGAAGCCCCGGUGAACGGCGGCCGUAACUAUAACGGUCCUAAGGUAGCGAAAUUCCUUGUCGGGUAAGUUCCGACCCGCACGAAAGGCGUAACGAGCAGAGCACUGUCUCAACAAGGGACCCGGCGAAGUUGGAAUAGCGGUGAAGAUGCCGUUUACCCGCAGCAGGACAAAAAGACCCCGUGGAGCUUUACUGUAGCUUGACAUUGAGUUAGGGCUUUGUCUGUGUAGGAUAGGUGGGAGGCUGUGAAGCUGGUCCGCUAGGAUCGGUGGAGUCGACGUUGAAAUACCACCCUGAUGGAGUCUUGGCUCUAACCUGUGGCCCUAAUCGGGCAUGGGGACAGUGUCUGGUAGGCAGUUUGACUGGGGCGGUCGCCUCCUAAAGAGUAACGGAGGCGCCCAAAGGUUCCCUCAGGCUGAAUGGAAACCAGCCGCAGAGUGUAAAGGCAUAAGGGAGCUUGACUGCGAGACAAACAAGUCGAGCAGAGACGAAAGUCGGGCUUAGUGAUCCUACGGUUCCGAGUGGAAGGGCCGUGGCUUAACGGACAAAAGCUACCCCGGGGAUAACAGGCUGAUCUCCUCCAAGAGUUCACAUCGACGAGGAGGUUUGGCACCUCGAUGUCGGCUCGUCGCAUCCUGGGGCUGAAGUAGGUCCCAAGGGUCCGGCUGUUCGCCGGUUAAAGCGGUACGCGAGCUGGGUUCAGACCGUCGUGAGACAGGUCGGUCUCUAUCCGCUGUGGGCGAAGGGGAUUUGAGAGGGGCUGCCCCUAGUACGAGAGGACCGGGGUGGACAGACCGCUGGUGUACCAGUUGUCUCGCCAGAGGCAUGGCUGGGUAGCUAAGUCUGGCAGCGAUAACCGCUGAAAGCAUCUAAGUGGGAAACGCGCCUCAAGAUGAGAUCCCCCACUGUAAAAGGGUAAGUGCACCGGGAGACUACCGGUUAGAUAGGCGGC
rnacentral:rRNA from 1 species